AGUUCGGAUUGUAGUCUGCAACUCGACUACAUGAAGCUGGAAUCGCUAGUAAUCGCGAAUCAGAAUGUCGCGGUGAAUACGUUCCCGGGUCUUGUACACACCGCCCGUCACACCAUGGGAGUCAGUAACGCCCGAAGUCAGUGACCCAACCGGAACCGGAGGGAGCUGCCGAAGGUGGGACCGAUAACUGGGGUGAAGUCGUAACAAGGUACC
rnacentral:rRNA from 1 species